rnacentral:rRNA from 1 species
AUUGAACGCUGGCGGCAGGCCUAACACAUGCAAGUCGAACGAGUGGCGGACGGGUGAGUAAUGUCUGGGAAACUGCCCGAUGGAGGGGGAUAACUACUGGCAACGGUAGCUAAUACAGCAUACCAUCGGAUGUGCCCAGAUGGGAUUAGCGUGUAGGUGAGGGAACGGCUAACCUAGGCGACGAGCCCUAGCUGGUAUGGGAGGAUGACCAGCCACACUGGAACUGUGACACGGUCCAGACUCCUACGGGAGGCACCAGUGGGGAAUAUUGCACAAUGGGCGCAAGCCUGAUGCAGCCAUGCCGCGUGGAUGAAGAAGUCCUUAGGGUUGUAAAGUACUUUCAGCGGGGAGGCGUUACCCGCAGAAGAAGCACCGUCUAACUCCGUGCCAGCAGCCGCGGUAAUUC